CAGUCGCCGCGGUAAUACGAAGGGUGCAAGCGUUAAUCGGAAUUACUGGGCGUAAAGCGUGCGUAGGCGGUGAGUUAAGUCUGCUGUGAAAUCCCCGGGCUCAACCUGGGAAUGGCAGUGGAUACUGGCUCGCUAGAGUGUGUCAGAGGAUGGUGGAAUUCCCGGUGUAGCGGUGAAAUGCGUAGAGAUCGGGAGGAACAUCAGUAGCGAAGGCGGCCAUCUGGGACAACACUGACGCUGAGGCACGAAAGCGUGGGGAGCAAACAGGAUUAGAUACCCCUGUAGUCCCUGUCUCUUAUAC
rnacentral:rRNA from 1 species